AUAUCAAUAAGCGGAGGAAAAGAAACCAACAGGGAUUGCCCUAGUAACGGCGAGUGAAGCGGCAACAGCUCAAAUUUGAAAUCUGGCCUCGGCCCGAGUUGUAAUUUGUAGAGGAUGCUUUUGGCGCGGUGCCUUCUGAGUUCCCUGGAACGGGACGCCAGAGAGGGUGAGAGCCCCGUAUAGUCGGACACCAAGCCUUUGUAAAGCUCCUUCGACGAGUCGAGUAGUUUGGGAAUGCUGCUCAAAAUGGGAGGUAAAUUUCUUCUAAAGCUAAAUACCGGCCAGAGACCGAUAGCGCACAAGUAGAGUGAUCGAAAGAUGAAAAGCACUUUGAAAAGAGGGUUAAACAGCACGUGAAAUUGUUGAAAGGGAAGCGCUUAUGACCAGACUUGCGCCCAGUAAAUCAUCCAGCGUUCUCGCUGGUGCACUUUGCUGGGCUCAGGCCAGCAUCGGUUUUGGCAGGGGGAUAAAAGCAUCAGGAAUGUGACUCCUCCGGGAGUGUUAUAGCCUGGUGUAUAAUACCCUUGCCGGGACCGAGGUACGCGCUCCGCAAGGAUGCUGGCGUAAUGGUUAUCAGCGACCCGUCUUGAAACACGGACCAAGGAGUGAAUGUCUUCAGCGAGUGUUUGGGUGU
rnacentral:rRNA from 2 species